UGAAGUGCUAUUAGCAUUGAGUUAGAUGAAUAUUAAGUUAAUUGAAUUUAGGUGUCAUUGAAAUGAAUGGAGCAAGUUUGAACAGUGGAACAGAUUCCCUUCGGAGGUUGUGGACUCUCCUUCAUUGGAGGUUUUUAAGCAGGAGUUUGAUGAGAUUCCUGCAUUGCAGGGGGUUGGACUAGAUGACCCUUGGGGUCCCUUCCAACCCCUUGAUUAUAUCAUUCUAAGUUAGUUCCCAUUGAAAUGAAUGGGACUUCUAAUUCGUAAGUCCAACUAAAUCCAGGUCAGUAUCUCUUUGGCACCAUUGUCCAUGCAGCAAAGGCUGCCUUGAAUUAUUUUCCUGAGAGAUCUGCCACACGUACCGUUCCUCCCAGCCAUUGUCAAUUGAACCUGCUGACUACUGUAACUGGAAUGGUAGUCUUUCUUCUCUACAUAGCCCUGGGAAUUUUCCAAAAUGAAAGGGUAGCAGUUUAUAGGCUACUGCUAUUUGGGCUGCCAGUGCAUUAAAACCCUUAUCUACAUAUGCUCUGCUAGCUGUAGCAGUAGGCUCUCCUGGCCUCUGGGCUAUGGCAUUAGCUGUAAUGCAGGAGGUGCUAUAAGCUUGUCUUAGCAAUACGUUUGUGCUGUGUUUAGCUGAGAUCAUGAGAUAGAUUAAAUGAUGUCACCAGUGGAGGAGGGUCCACUUGGGCUAGUAGGACACAGCCCAUCCAAAGAGAAUGUCAAGUAGUGUGCUGUAGUGGUUAAGAGUGUUGACCUGGAGACCAGGAUUCAAAUCUCCACUCAGACAUAAAGCUCACUGGUUGACUUUAAGUCUCUUAGCUUAACCUAUGUACCUCACAGGUUUCUCUUCAGUGAAAACAUGUUCCCCUCUUUAUUUUCAACUUUCUUGGGCACAUGCAACUAACCACAAUUACCUUGAAUUUCUGCUUAACCCUCAAGAAAGAAGGGCAUUUUCGCUGGCCAGGUUUAAUUCAAAUCCAUCAAACCUCCUUUGGGGAAGGUUCUCAGGCAGGGUGGAAGGAGAAAGAACUUGCCCAUGUGAAGACCACCUGGUGGAAACCCUUACACAUAUGGUUCUUAAUUGUAAACUAUAUGCUGAUCUCUGUCAGCAGUUUCUAGAUCAACUCUGUAUCCCCAAAUGGAAACCAGAGUUGGAGGUCAUACAUUUUCUAUUACUGGGGAAUGAUCAGGAGCUCACCAAGUUAGUGGCUAAAUAUCUCUAUUUGGUUUUCUGUCGUCGAAAUAUACUGCAGACAUCUGAUCUCCCUGGAGACCUAGCGAUGUGAUGAUAGACUGCUCUGCCUCCUAAAUAUUUUGUGCCACUGGGGAAGUGGUAAUUCUGUACUGAUUUGUUUUUGAUGUUUGUAUGUGAUGCCAAUAAAAGGUUUGAUUAUUAUGAUGAUGUACCUCACAGGAUUAUUGUAAGAACAAAAAGGAGAGGAGGAGAAAUGUGUGUGCCACCUUGACCUCCUUGGAGGAAAGAGGGGAUAUAAGUGUAAAAAUGAAUGAAGCUAUUUUUAAAAACAAAUUCCACCCCAAAUCUCAAAGCCACAUGCUCUUUCAACACACAUUUUAUACUUCUAUUUGGACUCAGAGACACUCUGCAAAUAUUUCUGUCCGAACCCAAAAAUAUAGCUAUGGCAGAAAAUGUGGGGUGCGAAGCGGUGAGACUUGUUCUAGGAGAAUGUGGAUAGAAGUGGCCAAGGAUGUAUAUCCACAGCAUUUGCACAGAAUUCAACAUGUGCUCACAUGCCCCAAAUGGUUGGCAACCCCUACACUGAUGAUUGGGGAUAACAGCAGCCAUCUGUAGGAUUGUCCUGCCUGUCUUCUUUUUCCAUUUAUUUUAUUAUUCAAGGGGUCUUACCCAGUGCUAUUUUUCUAGAAAAAGAAGUGUCCGAACUCACCAUGAAUGCCUCCCUUGUUCUCUUAUAAUGGCAACGGCGCCCACCUGAGAGGUGCCAGAACUGACUACUGGUAUGUUCUGGCUGGAAAAAAGCCCUGGUCUAACCACCACCCUGAAUCAUCCAUGCCUAGUCACAGGAGCAAAAUGGCAAAUGUCUCCCUUUCUCAAAGACAACAGUUGCACGUAUGUCUCUAAUAAAGGUAGCUAUUCUUUCUACUUUGCAUAUAGCACUGCUGAUGAUGAACAACUUGUACGAGACUACCUGCUGUUGGUUCCCUUUGUUCCUACUCUCUUGCCUUCAUGUUUCCAAACCAAUUUCCCCUCUGCUUUUAAACUCCUUCUCACAGUGCAUUUCUUUCCUAUACUAUUUCCAAAACCACUACAAUAGUCUCAGCUAUUCUGUGCUAUCUACACAAGUGGGAAAGAACUAAGCAGUCACACCAGUAAUUGACAGUCAUUCUUUAUGUGUUGCUACCUGGCAAAUAAUUGUUUAGGGUCAGAUCUAAGGGCAGUUGUGUCACUGUGGUGUCACAGUUUGUGGUAAUGUGCUGACAUCAUCAUGAGUCAGUCCAAGACACUAGACCAGCAAAGUCAUGAUGGUGGACACUACUGUAUCAGCACUAGUUCCCAAUUUGAGAUAAGGAACUUUGUUAUCUAAAUCAUUAGUGACACUGAAACAAAGGCGCCAUCAGCACUAUACAAUUAAAGCCGUAAUGGCUUCCCUCAAAGAAUCCUGGGAAAUGUAGUUUGCUAAAGGUGUUGAGUGUUGUUAGGAGACCCUUAUUUGCCUGACAGAGCUGAAGUUCCCCGACUUCCAUGGGAGGAGGGACUGGCUGUUAUACUGCUAUGGAAAUGGUAGGUUUAGGAGGGGAAUAGGAGAAGAAAAACUAUUAUUAUUAUUAUUAUUAUUAUUAUCAACAACAACAACAACAUCAACAUCAUCAAAAUUUAAAUAUCACCCUUCACCCAAAGAUCACAGGACAGUGGCCAUCAGCAGGACAGAAUGGAUUUAGCCACUUGCUAUGUGAAAGUUGUUCUUUGGCAACUGACACUUUGCCCAUUUGUGCUUAACAACACAGUAAUUCUGAGUCCUGAUGCUCAUCACCAGAAGUAUUCUAAUGAUGAGUUGUCAUGAAUAAUCUUCAUAACAAAUGCAUGCAUAUUCUUCCCAUUAUCCACAAUCAAAAUUAUGCCCAGCAGGUUAAACAGAUUGUGAUUCUAUGAGACUGGCCCUAAUUAGUGGGGAGGAGCUUAGGCUUUAAAACCUGGGAACCAUUAGAACCAAAAUUUUGGGAGCUAUCAAAGAAGAGUCCUUGGGAUUAAAGAUUCACACCAUGCCUGCUGUUAAUUCUGGACAAUCUUUCUUUCCAUCAUUGCCAAGGAUAUACAAAUGCCCAGCUCAUAAACCCAAGGUUGCAUGCUGAUUAUUUUGAGAUCAUCCAGACAAGAAAAUGGAAGAUUGGAUCAAAAUGGGAAUAGGCAUAUUUUCAAGGUAGGUUUAGAUAUCAUUUCUGUAUGGCAUACAUGUUUGUGACACAGUAUAAAGUACCCAAGAAGCUAGCUAGACCUGUUCAGAAAACCAGCAGAUUAGAUAAUCCGGAGGCCCUACAUAGCCUAUGUUAAGUGGACCAAAGGUGAAAAAGAUGAAGCUUUGGGUGUAGCCUGGUUCACAGGCGUUGGUAAUCGCAGCCUAUGGAUCCAAGGUGUUAUAUUUAAUGCUGUAAAUAUUACACAAGGGGUAAAACUAUGGACAAAUGAGUAUUAAGACAAGCUUAGAAAAGACUUGACCUUGGUAAAUAGCAAUCUUACAAAUGAUGAGAAAUACUUUGGAAACCUUGUUAUGAUUUUUACACUACUUAUAAUUAUAAAAAUUACCACUCAGAAGGUGUGAUGCAAAAUAAAGCAGUAAAUUAAGACAAAACAUACCAGCAGAGAUUUCAUUAUCUAGUGAUGAUAUAUCUGUAGCCUGAGCCCAUGAGACUGACAUGUUCAUUUUUCAUUAAAUACUUUGAUUUAUUAUAUUUAUAUCCUACUUUUCUUCAAGGAGCUCAAGGUGGCAUACAUGGUUCUCCCUCUUUCCAUUUUAUCCUACCAAGCCCAGGUUAGGCUGAGAGACAGUGAUUGGCCAAAGGCCUCCCAAUGAGCUUCAUGGCCGAGUAAGGAUUUGGACCUGGUCUCCUGGUUGUGAGGAAGGCAGUGUUUUCUCCUUGCUUUUCUUUCCCCAAAUUUGAAUCUGAUCUUGCAAGGGGUAGAGUUAUGAAUUAAUAUGGGGAAACCUAGGUUCUACCUUCUGUAGGACAAGGAGAAGUAUCAUAAGAAAUGCAAAUAGAAUUCUAUGGGGGCUAAAUGCCAAUAUCUGCAUGUGCAUGUUCACUCAUCCCUUUAGUCACAGGGGCAUCCACUCCACAGAAGUUAGAAACAUCUCUCAAUCAGUAUUGGUAGAAUGGCAGAAAUACAGAUUGGAGUAAGGAAGACCAAAUAAUGUUUCACUAGAGCAGAGAGCUAUCUCAUCCUUCAGUCCUAACAGCAAGUCAAUAGUGGUUUCCCAAUCCUAUAUCCUGUGGAUAAGAGGAGAGUUAAAUAAGAUGUGCCUUGUGUUUGGAACUGCAAUCCAUAUGCUUACAAAAAACUGGAGGCUUUAAUGUUCACAACUGUACCAUAUUAAAAAGAAGUCUCAUGAAGCAAAUAAUAUUUAUAAAAAACCACUAAACUGAUACAGUACUACAGAAAGCAAGAUUCCCCCAUUCCAGAAUUGAUAAGUAUUCAUUAUGUUGUGAUGAAUAUAAGGCGUAAACACAAUCCUAUACAAGUCUACUCAGAAGCAUGGCCCACUGAGUUCAAAGAGUCAAGUGUGUAUAUAUAGCCUUACAGCCAAGAGGUGGCUUUUUUUCUUUGAAGGGAAAUAUGAAUAAUUUAAUUUUAG